rnacentral:rRNA from 1 species
GACGAACGCUGGCGGCGUGCUUAACACAUGCAAGUCGAACGGAAAGGCCCUGCUUUUGUGGGGUUCUCGAGUGGCGAACGGGUGAGUAACACGUGAGUAACCUGCCCUUGACUUUGGGAUAACUUCAGGAAACUGGGGCUAAUACCGGAUAGGAUCUCCUGCUGCGUGGUGGGGGUUGGAAAUUUUCGGCGGUUGGGGAUGGACUCGCGGCUUAUGAGCUUGUUGGUGGGGUAGUGGCUUACCAAGGCUUUGACGGGUAGCCGGCCUGAGAGGGUGACCGGCCACAUUGGGACUGAGAUACGGCCCAGACUCCUACGGGAGGCAGCAGUGGGGAAUAUUGCACAGUGGGCGGAAGCCUGAUGCAGCAACGCCGCGUGCGGGAUGACGGCCUUCGGGUUGUAAACAGCUUUCGCCUGUGACGAAGCGUGAGUGACGGUAAUGGGUAAAGAUGCACCGGCUAACUACGUG